rnacentral:rRNA from 1 species
CACGCGCGCCACACUGAGGGGAUCAGCGUGUGUUUACCCUUCGCCGACAGGCGCGGGUAACCCGCUGAACCCCACGCGUGAUAGGGAUCGGGGAUUGCAAUUAUUUCCCAUGAACGAGGAAUUCCCAGUAAGCGCGGGUCAUAAGCUCGCGUUGAUUAAGUCCCUGCCCUUUGUACACACCGCCCGUCGCUACUACCGAUUGGAUGGUUUAGUGAGGUCCUC